GUGACGACACCCGGCAAGGCUUAUAGAUGACGAGACAUUCAUAAGCUGA
rnacentral:snoRNA from 1 species